rnacentral:rRNA from 1 species
ACUUAAAUUGAAGAGUUUGAUCAUGGCUCAGAUUGAACGCUGGCGGCAGGCCUAACACAUGCAAGUCGAACGGUAGCACAGAGGAGCUUGCUCCUUGGGUGACGAGUGGCGGACGGGUGAGUAAUGUCUGGGAAACUGCCCGAUGGAGGGGGAUAACUACUGGAAACGGUAGCUAAUACCGCAUAAUGUCGCAAGACCAAAGAGGGGGACCUUCGGGCCUCUUGCCAUCGGAUGUGCCCAGAUGGGAUUAGCUAGUAGGUGGGGUAACGGCUCACCUAGGCGACGAUCCCUAGCUGGUCUGAGAGGAUGACCAGCCACACUGGAACUGAGACACGGUCCAGACUCCUACGGGAGGCAGCAGUGGGGAAUAUUGCACAAUGGGCGCAAGCCUGAUGCAGCCAUGCCGCGUGUAUGAAGAAGGCCUNGGGGUAACGGCUCACCUAGGCGACGAUCCCUAGCUGGUCUGAGAGGAUGACCAGCCACACUGGAACUGAGACACGGUCCAGACUCCUACGGGAGGCAGCAGUGGGGAAUAUUGCACAAUGGGCGCAAGCCUGAUGCAGCCAUGCCGCGUGUAUGAAGAAGGCCUUCGGGUUGUAAAGUACUUUCAGCGAGGAGGAAGGUGUUGAGGUUAAUAACCGCAGCAAUUGACGUUACUCGCAGAAGAAGCACCGGCUAACUCCGUGCCAGCAGCCGCGGUAAUACGGAGGGUGCAAGCGUUAAUCGGAAUUACUGGGCGUAAAGCGCACGCAGGCGGUCUGUCAAGUCGGAUGUGAAAUCCCCGGGCUCAACCUGGGAACUGCAUCCGAAACUGGCAGGCUAGAG